AGGGGGGGGUGCUAUACAUGCAAGUCGAGCGAACUGAUUAGAAGCUUGCUUCUAUGACGUUAGCGGCGGACGGGUGAGUAACACGUGGGCAACCUGCCUGUAAGACUGGGAUAACUUCGGGAAACCGAAGCUAAUACCGGAUAGGAUCUUCUCCUUCAUGGGAGAUGAUUGAAAGAUGGUUUCGGCUAUCACUUACAGAUGGGCCCGCGGUGCAUUAGCUAGUUGGUGAGGUAACGGCUCACCAAGGCAACGAUGCAUAGCCGACCUGAGAGGGUGAUCGGCCACACUGGGACUGAGACACGGCCCAGACUCCUACGGGAGGCAGCAGUAGGGAAUCUUCCGCAAUGGACGAAAGUCUGACGGAGCAACGCCGCGUGAGUGAUGAAGGCUUUCGGGUCGUAAAACUCUGUUGUUAGGGAAGAACAAGUACAAGAGUAACUGCUUGUACCUUGACGGUACCUAACCAGAAAGCCACGGCUAACUACGUGCCAGCAGCCGCGGUAAUACGUAGGUGGCAAGCGUUAUCCGGAAUUAUUGGGCGUAAAGCGCGCGCAGGCGGUUUCUUAAGUCUGAUGUGAAAGCCCACGGCUCAACCGUGGAGGGUCAUUGGAAACUGGGGAACUUGAGUGCAGAAGAGAAAAGCGGAAUUCCACGUGUAGCGGUGAAAUGCGUAGAGAUGUGGAGGAACACCAGUGGCGAAGGCGGCUUUUUGGUCUGUAACUGACGCUGAGGCGCGAAAGCUGAC
rnacentral:rRNA from 2 species